rnacentral:rRNA from 1 species
GAUUAGAAGCUUGCUUCUAUGACGUUAGCGGCGGACGGGUGAGUAACACGUGGGCAACCUGCCUGUAAGACUGGGAUAACUUCGGGAAACCGAAGCUAAUACCGGAUAGGAUCUUCUCCUUCAUGGGAGAUGAUUGAAAGAUGGUUUCGGCUAUCACUUACAGAUGGGCCCGCGGUGCAUUAGCUAGUUGGUGAGGUAACGGCUCACCAAGGCAACGAUGCAUAGCCGACCUGAGAGGGUGAUCGGCCACACUGGGACUGAGACACGGCCCAGACUCCUACGGGAGGCAGCAGUAGGGAAUCUUCCGCAAUGGACGAAAGUCUGACGGAGCAACGCCGCGUGAGUGAUGAAGGCUUUCGGGUCGUAAAACUCUGUUGUUAGGGAAGAACAAGUACAAGAGUAACUGCUUGUACCUUGACGGUACCUAACCAGAAAGCCACGGCUAACUACGUGCCAGCAGCCGCGGUAAUACGUAGGUGGCAAGCGUUAUCCGGAAUUAUUGGGCGUAAAGCGCGCGCAGGCGGUUUCUUAAGUCUGAUGUGAAAGCCCACGGCUCAACCGUGGAGGGUCAUUGGAAACUGGGGAACUUGAGUGCAGAAGAGAAAAGCGGAAUUCCACGUGUAGCGGUGAAAUGCGUAGAGAUGUGGAGGAACACCAGUGGCGAAGGCGGCUUUUUGGUC